CAGUUAUCCACAGAUUAGGGAAUUCCAAAUUCCUCCACUCAUGUCGUACCGUAGAGCACGUAACCUCAGAGACCACUUGGUCAAAGCUGACAUCUCUGGACCGGGUAAACAACAGAAAUAUUUGUCUGUAAAAGCUAAGGGGUGUUUUCCCUGUUUGCGCUGUGUUACAUGCAAGUAUUUACAAAAAGGCACCACGUUCAUACAUCCUGACACUCAGAAAGAAUUCCCCAUUAAAUUCUACUUAACGUGCGAUAGUGAUUAUGUUGUGUACAUCCUUUGGUGCCCAUGUAAACACCUAUAUGUAGGUGAAACGAAAAAUGAUUUCAGGACAAGAUUGAACCAACACAGGUAUUCAAUCAGAAAAAAACGUUUGGACCUCCCUGUGUCUAAACAUUUUACCGAAGCUGGACACACAGAAUCAGAUCUAAAAUGCAUGAUAGUUGACCAUAUUCCUCCCCCAAAAAGAGGGGGUGAUAGAAUAGCAUCCCUCCAGGUUAGAGAACUCAAGUGGAUCCACAGCCUUAAUACACUUAAACCAAAUGGACUCAAUGUAGAGUUCACUGUCUUACCUAAGAUGUUGAGGCGCUAAUGGGGUUUAGCCCUGUAUGUUGGGGGGUAUUAACCCUGCUAGAGGUGAAUAGUGAUUUAUUCUUGCUACUAAUUUCUUUUUUCUAAAUUUUUGUUUUAGUUCACAUGCCUUCCGGGUACCUGCCUUGACGUCACUCCACCUCACAUAUUGUAUUCCGAUUAUAUAUUCCUGAGGAAACAGCAACCAAAUAUUCGGCUACUACUAAUCUUUACUUCUUGUUCUUUGGCCUCUCAUUCUACAUCUUACUGUGAAACAGAUAUCGGUCCAUACACACCGAGGAAAUCUUGGUCCACAUAUGCUGAUGCCAGAACGGUCCCGGUUCAUAUACACCGCUUGUUACUACUAUGGUCGGUUGCCAAGGACAACCCCGAGUUUUGGAGCCUAAGUCCAAGUAUCAGGGACUGUAUUCCCUCUGAUUUACUUACUUUCCUUUUUUCUGCUGCCUUUACAUACUACGGCCGGUUGCUAGGGGCAACCACAAGAUAUGGAACCCCAGCCCUAGCAACAGUGACCGCACUUCCCUUUGUUUACUUACCUGCUCUGUGUAUGCUGUGUUUACUUUCAGCCCUCACUAGACCUUUUGCUGUCCCCCAGGAAUGGAUACAUUAUGCCUUUAUUUAAUAUUAUUCAAUCAAGCUAUAUACACCCUGUGAUCUAUACAGCGAUAUUGAUAUGGCCUCAUUUUUCGCAUGGGGAUAAUCCUCACUGACAGGAUAUGAACUUAUCUGAGCAUGCGCAAGUCACGUCUAAGUCCGGAGUCGGGUUGCCAUGGAUGCGAGGACGCGCUCCUGGUGUUACGCUCCACCCGAACCCGGAAAUGCUUCUACUCCUCAGCGAUGCGCACCUCACGUCCGGCGCAUUGGCGCCUGUGACCGGGAUACAUCGCGGCAGGACCCCGGAAGGCAUUCACAUCUCGUCACGGAUUUACAGAUCACUACCAGUGCACUUUGAUGUAUUAUGCUUAAAUACCGGUAAUUCUAUAUUAGAUGAUGAUCUGAUGUCCUUUUAUUUGUAUUUAACACUGUAGAUGAUGAUUUAUAUUAUUUAUAUUAUUGUUUGCACAAUGCUUUCUGAUGACCUCUUUAUUUACAUAUGUCAAUCAUGUAUUACCUUUGUCACAUGACCUAGUGGGCGGUCUAUAAAUACCCACCAGUAUCACUAUGAUU